rnacentral:rRNA from 1 species
UACGUAGGGUCCAAGCGUUAUCCGGAAUCACUGGGCGUAAAGCGUGCGUAGGUGGCGUGUUAAGUGUGAUGUUAAAUCGUGUGGCUCAACCAUAUCGAUGCAUCACAUACUGGCAUGCUGGAGGGAAGCAGAGCAAGUGGAAUUGGUAGUGUAGCAGUGAAAUGCGUAGAUAUUACCAGGAACACCAAUGGCGAAGCAGCUUGCUGGGCUUCUUCUGACACUGAGGUACGAAAGCGUGGGAGCGAACGG